rnacentral:lncRNA from 1 species
CUAGCUCUAAUACCAUGUUAGGAAUAUGCAACUUGUAUUCCCAUGAGGCCAUAGGCCGAUAUAUAUACAUGUACAGAUGUGAAACAUAUGCAGGAAACCCCUUAUAUAACGGGAUAAAUACAAAGGGGUACAUGACUUAUAAUAUAACUCUAACACAUCUUAUCCCCUGAGAUAUAUUGCCUUUAAUCUCUUGAUUUUUUCCCUGACAUGCUAAUAUAGAGCUAGAUAUGCAUGAUUCAUCAUACACAUUACAGCCAAUUAUCCAUUGGUUCUUUUGUCCAUAGAGGUGAUUUUGUUUGGACCAUUAGUCUAGGUAGUGACAUUUUGAUCGAUAAGGCACAAGUUUAUUUUCUUUAUCACUCGGGCUACACUAAAGUAAGCAUAACCGUCAGUGAAAUGAAGGCAUACAAAUCAUGAAGUUUUUGCCUUGGCUGUGUGCCUUGUUUAGUUGUCACUUAUUUAUUUCUUGGAAGUUAUUCAAUUCUCAUUGAGCUUUCCUUAUGCUUUCCAUUGCUAAAGAAGAAAUUUAAAUACGCAAUAUUUUUAAUGUCUGAGGAGGCGAGAGGAGAUGAAAAAGGGCUGUAAGGUUGUACUUUGGUGCGUCUCUGUCCAAUGAUGGCUGGAUCCAUCUGACGCUCUUCCAAGCAGAGCAGUGCAGAUUUGCUGACUGGUACAACAUCUAAACCUUGGCUACCCUAGCUAAAUUUUACAUCUCUUAGUAUCAACAAAUAAGUUGGUUACAGUAUAUACUUGAAGAUUGCAGCAGGCACAAAAUGCUUUGCUAACCAGCCGGUUAAUUGAGUUGUGCCUACGAAGGAUCAGUCGAGUAGUUGUUUUUUCUAAAAUAAAUGAGGAUUAGUUUGGUUGCCAUGUAACGGUAAGGCCAGAAUGGUGGUACUGAAAAAUGGUUCUUUAAUGGUCAUAUGUGUUGUGGAGUUGGAACUUGAUUCUUUUUAAGUUGGAGUGGGUAGGUUGUCUAUAUGUAUUGCAUUAUUUUUCUACGGUGUACUGUUCUUUCUAAUGAUUUUUUUAAAGUUAGUAUUUAAGUUUACGGCAUUAUUCCGCGGUGUACUGUUCUAUCUACAACAUACUGUUAAUAUCUUAUGCUUUUCAACAUUACACGGUUAAAACCUUCUGUAUAAGAUCUUGCGCUUUCAACAUCUGCUCAUGGCGAUGUGCGUAUUCUGCUAUGAACUGUUUACAUUAUAGAGAGUUGUGGUACCUACAGUUGUACGAUUUCUUUUAGCUGAUGUUGGUUGCUCAUACUGACAAAAGGUGUGUUAACAAAUGAUUGCAGAGCAGCGGAGAAACAUGUUUCUACAAAUGUGCCAAAACUGAUGGAUUUAACUACAGGUAUUGCACUAUUAUUCUACAGGUAUCGCUGUAUUGCAUUAUCCAACUGUAAGUCUGUUCUAAACUCUAUGCCCCAUGUAAAUCUGAUGGAAGAUUGGGCCAUUUAAUUUUAACCAAAAAGGGUGAUAUGCUUUGAGUUGCUUGAAUCUGUCCAGACCUGAAAAUUAGAUAUACUUUGAAAGCUCGAUAUAUGAGUAGGAGAUAGUUGAUAAAGGUGUACCUCUUGUAGGAGAUUAUUAGUUGAUUACCUGCUUCUAUGCGGUGAACAAAUGAGUAAGCAGUUUUAGUUGAUAAAGGUGUAGGCAACACACCAUUUUUGCUCCAUUUUUUGGUUUACAAGUCAAGGAUGUUUAGCCUUUCCUGAAUAUGUUAAUUGUGAAACAGUUUUGAUGCAAUUUUUGAACCAUUCAGUCUAUUUUGUUCGUGCAGUUCAUGGUACCAGAUCUGCAGCCUGCAUCUUGUGUAGAUUUGGCUACCACAUUAUAUGAUGAUGUUUCACUUUGCUCAGUCAAAGUUCAGUAAAAAUUUGAAUUGAACAUAUUUUUGUAGACAUACAAAAAUGGUCUGCAUUUUUUACAUCGCCCUGACAUCCAAUUCAAACUAUAUUUUCUGCCUAAACUGUUGCGUACCCAUGAGAUCAUGGGAUAACUCAGACAUGAGCCGGUGUCCAGUGCGCAGUUGGGUGCAUUAUUUGGUGACAUCCAGUGCUAACUGUUUUUUCAAGGCCACCGAGUGGAGUGAGGGUGAGUAGUGUGGCAUCAGCCUUCCGUUUAUUUAGCUGGUUCUAGGAUCUCCUUUGUUGCUGCAUCUUGAUCUCCUGCUUUGCUGUAACUAUGUUCUGCUGCUUGAUGUUUGUUUCCUUCUUUCUAGCUACAUGCUUAUUCUUUCUAGCCACAUGCAUGUUUUCCUUUUGCUGUGGGAAAUAGUUCAGUUAUAUUUAUCAGUAGCAUCUCUAUGUUUAUAGAUACAUACUAGGAACAUGCUUAUUUAGUGUGGCCUUCUCUUUUUUAUGCAAGAAGUGUGCCUUCUCUAAUCUGACAAUCAUCUUAUUUGUUGUUCUAAAUAAUUACUGCAGGAUGGAGCAGCAGGCAUAGAUGAAAUCUACUGCAAAUUUCUAUUGGUUGCGGCAUCUUCCGCUGAGUAACUCUACAAAACAGCCUGCUAGCAUUGAUUCUUGCAAUAAAAAAAUAAGUCUGGCAUCAUUCAUAAAAAGCUUAUAGACAUAGAUAAUUUCUUAAUACUGCACUGGUUCUCACCAGUGAGAUUGUAGAUGUGGUAUUUUGAGAAUACCAGUGUAAUUCACUGGUCCAAAAGCUCCAUUUCUUAAUGUGUUUUUGCAGAAUGCUACCAGUAAUGUUUUUCUUUUCCUUAAUGUACAAACAUAUCUAUUAGAUAUGAUUUUGGAUCUGAACUUUUCCCUGUCUGCAGCUCACAUUGUGGUAUGGUCAUGGUAAAGCAAAAGGAAAAGAUGUUUAAACUUUUUUUGGGCGUCAUACAUGAAAAGUACCUUUAUUUCCAUCGAGCUUAAUUACUAAGAAAAUGUUACCACUAUUUCCUUACUAAUAAACCUAAAUGUUCUGAAAGUUCGGUCUCUUGCUCUCUUUGCUUAUGAAUUGGACACUUUCCCUUUCUUUAGUCCUUACACGGUUCCACCUCGCUUUGACUUCAUACUUUGAUGGUGUUUGUAGGUAUGAAGACUUGAAGAGUGGUCAUAAUGUUACUUAAAGGAGGCCUCAACUUGCACCAAAUGCAUGGGCAUGUGCAACAGCAACUUAUGUAGGUGAGUAGGUAUUUAUGCUUAGUUUUGACUUGAGUACAAAAAAGAGCUUGCUGACAUAUACAAGAGAAUAGGCUACCCAUUCUUGAAUUGAAUCAGAUUGGUAGACUAAACCACUGUGGUGUACUCUUUGCUGCUGAGUUAUUACAAUCCAACUGAAAAUAAGGGGAAAACAAACAUGAUCCUGCCAUUUAAAUUAUCUCAUGUUUGUGGAGAAAAGUUGCAUAGUUAGCUAUUGUAAAAUACUAUCGACCCAGUUUUUGUUCAAUAGACGUCCCUUCUUCGAAUGUAGCUUGAACCUGCGCAAGGGCAUGGUAGCAUGCUCAUUCUAUUUUUUUUACUAAGGUGGUUACACUUUCCAACUUUUUGCUGAAAGAUAGUCAAUUUAGUCAUGAGCUAUAGCGGCGUUUCUGUUUACUGAAUUUUGUUUUGCAGUUCCCUUCUCUUGAAUGUUUAUUCAAAUGUGCCUAAUGUUUUUUUCAGGUUUCUAAAAACCAAUAAAUGCUGCUCUCAAAUCAGUUAGGAGGCUGAAGGUAGUAGCUUACUGAACUCUCAUUUCUGGAAAAAUCUGGAGAUGUCUUGGUAUGGAGUUUCAUGAUCAACUUGCUCCGGCAUAGUUAGUCUUUCUAGACUAAUUGUUUGUCAGUAUCUAUUCUAUACAUGUGUUUGAUUGGUUGUGCAAACAUGCAUGCAUUGUUCUGUGUGGAAAUUGCUUUAUCCGGUCUGUUCUAUAGCAUUGUUUCCAGUGGCUGUUUAGCACAUAUAUUUAGAUAGUUGCAUACGCAUGCUUGGUUCUGCCAGAAAAUUAUCUUCCCUGAUAUGUUUUUAGAUGCUAUUUGGUAUACAUGUUUGUCUUUGUCAUGUUUAUGUUGAGUUGUGGGUUCCAAAGGUAUUUAUGAUGAUCGUUUGCAUGGUGGGUCAUGUCAGCGAUGUGCAUUGCAUAUUCAUGAUUCAAACUCUUUGUUGGGUAUAUGAAGUUGUUUUUGAAUGGCCCAUGAUUCGUUUUUAUUAGUAUUUUAGUUUAAGCAUUUCUCCAGAGAAUCUUGAUAUCCAGCUGUAUAUAUAUCCAGUCAUGUUUUUUUACUCUGACCGAUUUCUUUUUUUUUGUUUUACAGUUUGUACAAUCUCUAAAGAUGGUGCUCCAUUGUUCUGUUAAUCAAGAUUUGUUCCCUCCUUUCUUACUAGCUGAUACGUGAUGACCGUUUGCAUGGGGUUUAUGUUAGCUAUAUUCUAUUCAUGAUUCAAACUGUUUGUUGGGUAAUUUAGUUUAGACAUUGUGUCCUGAGAAUCUUGAUAUCUAGCUGUAUUGGUAUAGUAUAGUUUGUGAUUUUUCGCUCUGAAUUUAUAUAUCCACUCAGGUUGGGAUAGGUUACGAGUAUUCUUAGUGUGGAAACAGCGACAGUGCUGCACUUUCAUCAUAUGAUGAUAUGCCAACCUUGCGCCAUUUGGCUCUAUGUUACCUGAAUAAGAUAACAAAAUACACAUGCUCAAGUAUAUGUUUUCAAAGUUGAAUUAUCCUUCAUUUUCCAUUUUAAAUGGUUUGAAUAAGUAUCCUAAGUGGCUGCUAAAACUUACUUCUAC